rnacentral:lncRNA from 1 species
AUCAAACUAUGUUCUGAUAGUAUAUCAGGCUAUCAAUAACAUUAUAUCACUGAUCAAUAGGCUCUGCAUUAAACCAAAACUCUUUCUGAAGUGAGAAUCUCUUCUUUAUCUGCCAAAAUUCAUGAGGAAGAAACACCAGGUUACCUUGACUUAUGGACAUAGAUCCAUGGAUAUGAACUCUGAAUUGCAUAAUCAUGCUGAAUGUUAACAGUUACUAACAAUGAGUUAUCAAAGCUGAGUAACACUCAACAACCUUAUACAUAAUUGAGUCACCUUACUUCUGCCAAGGCAUAGCCUGAGGACAUGAAAGAAUUAAAGAAUGACUGUGAAGUGAAAAAUAACCACAGCGUAACAUUUGGAUGGAAAGAAAAAUGGCUAAAACGAGGCACAAUGAACAGUGAGCCAAGGACUCUGUGAGGGAGAAGAAUCCAUGGGUUAUUAGAAGCUGUGACAUAGUGACUGUGUAUUACUUGACUGGGUGUAUCACUGAAGAGAACCUGCAAGUUUCAGCAUCUUCAUCAUUAUCAUUGCCAGCAUCAUCAACAUAAUCACUAUCACUUACACUCACACACUUCUUAUCCGCUAUGACUGUAGAGUAAUAUAGCCUUCACAUUGUUUCCACAUACUAUGCUCAUUUGCUUCUCACAAAACUCUGUGUGGUUGUUAAGGCAGCUAUUUCUAUAAUUUCACUGGAAGUUUACCUUGUGUCCCGAAAGAAAAAAUAAAUACAUUGUAAAAGUUAAAAGCACAAAACACUACAAUUUGGAUCAAGUUGCGUGUAAAAACAAAAUCUGGAUACCUAUAGCACAGCUACUAAUCAUACGGUUACCUUCAUUAUUGAUUUCCAGAAGAACAUCCUUCUUUUAAGAAAAUAUAUCAUUGCACUGAAGACUGGUGAUUUUAACCAUUCUCGUUGUACCUUUACUUUAAUGCCCCUUUAACAUUUUUAUGCAAAAACAACACUAAUACUUUCCAGGCAUUUCAUUAGAAACACUGGAUUCAUAUAAGGUAAAAUACAAAGUGAGAAGUAGCAAUAAGAUUAUAAUGAGCAUCAUAUAAUCACUCAUCAUUCAUGGCAAAAGAAAUCAAACCAAAAUAGCACAAAACACCAGCCAAGUAGGAAUGAGGAAAUGCUGCCCCCUACAAUCAUUAUUAUGAAUGUGGGUUCUUUAAUUUCACUUGAGCUCAUAAAAGCAUAGUCUAAUAUAAUGUAUCCCUGUCUCUUCAAUUGACCAUCAUUUACCUUCCCGUCCAGAAAACACAUUUAUGAAUUAGGUUCAAAACCAUUUUUGGUUGUGUGCAUUUCAUACUCCAAGAUUCCUGCUGAAUGGUGUUAUAGAAAGUACAGUUAUUAGUGCUGAAAUUCACCUCAAUUCUAUUUCUGAAAAAAGGUCUCUUAAGCACUUGCCAGAGUUCCUUCUUCCCUGUAAUCAAUAAAAAUUUAAAA